UGGUUUCAUCCCGUCUCAUCAUCUCCUCAGUUCAAGUGACCAUAAUGAAAUUCCUGGCUGUCCUAGUUCUUGUGCUUGCUUGCUUUGCUGUCUUCUCGGAAGCCUGCGGUUGUUGUAAGAAAUGUUGUCACAGCAGCCACCACUCCCACCACAGCAAACACGGCAUCCCCAUCCCCAUCCCCUACCCCAUGUCUCACGGCAGCAGCGGCGGCAGUCACACCAACUUCCUCCCCAUCAUCCUCACCACAACCGGAUAAAAGAAUAGAUGUUUGCUGCAGAGAUACUUCCAACAACCACAUUACAACCUCAGCUCGUGUCUAAUAAACCUUGGAUGUCAC